AGAGUUUGAUUCUGGCUCAGGAUGAACGCUAGCGACAGGCUUAACACAUGCAAGUCGAGGGGCAUCAUGAGGUAGCAAUACCUUGAUGGCGACCGGCGCACGGGUGAGUAACGCGUAUGCAACCUGGCUGAUACAGGGGGAUAGCCCAUGGAAACGUGGAUUAACACCCCAUAAUAUUAUUUGAAGGCAUCUUUUAAUAAUUAAAUCAUUCGAGGUAUCAGAUGGGCAUGCGUCCUAUUAGCUAGUUGGGGGGGUAACGGCCCACCAAGGCAAUGAUAGGUAGGGGUUCUGAGAGGAAGGUCCCCCACAUUGGAACUGAGACACGGUCCAAACUCCUACGGGAGGCAGCAGUGAGGAAUAUUGGUCAAUGGGCGCAGGCCUGAACCAGCCAAGUCGCGUGAGGGAAGACUGCCCUAAGGGUUGUAAACCUCUUUUAU
rnacentral:rRNA from 1 species